UACAGAGGAUGCAAGCGUUAUCCGGAAUGAUUGGGCGUAAAGCGUCUGUAGGUGGUUUAUUAAGUCUACUGUUAAAGAUCAGGGCUUAACCCUGAGCAGGCAAUAGAAACUAAUAAGCUAGAGUACGGUAGGGGCAGAGGGAAUUCCCGGUGUAGCGGUGAAAUGCGUAGAGAUCGGGAAGAACACCAACGGCGAAAGCACUCUGCUGGGCCGAAACUGACACUGAGAGACGAAAGCUAGGGGAGCAAAUGGG
rnacentral:rRNA from 1 species